rnacentral:rRNA from 1 species
UACAGAGGGUGCAAGCGUUGUUCGGAAUUAUUGGGCGUAAAGCGCGUGUAGGCGGCUUUGCAAGUCGGGUGUGAAAGCCCUCAGCUCAACUGAGGAAGUGCGCCCGAAACUGCAGAGCUUGAGUACCGGAGAGGGUGGCGGAAUUCCCCAAGUAGAGAUGAAAUUCGUAGAUAUGGGGAGGAACACCGGUGGCGAAGGCGGCCACCUGGACGGUUACUGACGCUGAGACGCGAAAGCGUGGGGAGCAAACAGG